rnacentral:rRNA from 1 species
UACGUAGGGCGCAAGCGUUGUCCGGAAUUAUUGGGCGUAAAGAGCUCGUAGGCGGUUUGUCGCGUCUGCUGUGAAAACGCGAGGCUUAACCUCGCGCCUGCAGUGGGUACGGGCAGACUAGAGUGCGGUAGGGGAGACUGGAAUUCCUGGUGUAGCGGUGAAAUGCGCAGAUAUCAGGAGGAACACCGGUGGCGAAGGCGGGUCUCUGGGGCCGGUCCUGACGGCUGAUAUGCGAAGGCGUGGGGAGCGAACGGG